rnacentral:rRNA from 1 species
ACGGGAGGCAGCAGUAGGGCAUAUUGCACAAUGGGGGGAACCCUGAUGCAGCAACGCCACGUGUGGGGAGAAGCAUUUCGGUGUGUAAACCACUGUCGUGAGGGAAUAAUGCUUGAUUUCGGUCAAGUUGAAUGUACCUCGAAAGGAAGCAUCGGCAAACUUCGUGCCAGCAGCCGCGGUAAUACGAGGGGUGCAAGCGUUGUUCGGAAUCACUGGGCGUAAAGGGAGCGUAGGCGGAGACGCAAGCAGUCUGUACAAGACCGGGGCCCAACCCCGGACCUGCAGACUGGACUGUGUCUCUUGGAUAGUUCAGGGGCAGGCGGAAUUCCUGGUGUAGCGGUGGAAUGCGUAGAGAUCAGGAAGAACACCGAUGGCGAAGGCAGCCUGCUGGGGACUCAUCGACGCUGAGGCUCGAAAGUGCGGGUAGCAAACAGGAUUAGAUACCCUGGUA